UUUCAUUUCUGUUUUUUUUUUUUUUUUUUUUUUUUUUAUAAAUU
rnacentral:ribozyme from 14 species